UACGGGAGGCAGCAGUGGGGAAUAUUGCACAAUGGGCGCAAGCCUGAUGCAGCCAUGCCGCGUGUAUGAAGAAGGCCUUCGGGUUGUAAAGUACUUUCAGUCGUGAGGAAGGUGUUAAGGUUAAUAACCUUAGCAAUUGACGUUAGCGACGGAAGAAGCACCGGCUAACUCCGUGCCAGCAGCCGCGGUAAUACGGAGGGUGCGAGCGUUAAUCGGAAUUACUGGGCGUAAAGGGCACGCAGGCGGUUAAUUAAGUUGGAUGUGAAAUCCCCGGGCUUAACCUGGGAAUGGCAUUCAAGACUGGUUAGCUAGAGUCUUGUAGAGGGGGUAGAAUUCCAUGUGUAGCGGUGAAAUGCGUAGAGAUGUGGAGGAAUACCGGUGGCGAAGGCGGCCCCUGGACAAAGACUGACGCUCAUGUGCGAAAGCGUGGGGAGCGAAACAGGGAUUAGAUACC
rnacentral:rRNA from 1 species